GACGAACGCUGGCGGCGUGCUUAACACAUGCAAGUCGAACGGAAAGGCCCUGCUUUUGUGGGGUGCUCGAGUGGCGAACGGGUGAGUAACACGUGAGUAACCUGCCCUUGACUUUGGGAUAACUUCAGGAAACUGGGGCUAAUACCGGAUAGGAGCUCCUGCUGCAUGGUGGGGGUUGGAAAGUUUCGGCGGUUGGGGAUGGACUCGCGGCUUAUCAGCUUGUUGGUGGGGUAGUGGCUUACCAAGGCUUUGACGGGUAGCCGGCCUGAGAGGGUGACCGGCCACAUUGGGACUGCGAUACGGACCAGAAUCCUACGGGAGGCAGCAGUGGGGAAUAUUGCACAAUGGGCGGAAGCCUGAUGCAGCAACGCCGCGUGCGGGAUGACGGCCUUCGGGUUGUAAACCGCUUUCGACUGUGACGAAGCGUGAGUGACGGUAAUGGGUAAAGAAGCACCGGCUAACUACGUG
rnacentral:rRNA from 1 species